GUCUAUGACCAUGCCACCCUGUACAGGCCUGAUCCCGUCUGAUCUCAGAAGCUAAGCAGGGACAGGCCUGAUUAGUACUUGGAUGGGAGACCACCUAGGAAGACCAGGUGGCUGUAGGCA
ensembl:rRNA 5S_rRNA 5S ribosomal RNA